AAUGCAUGCCCAACUCUGAAUUCAAUAUCACCUUCAACUGGUGUUUCAAAUAUAUUGUCAUAUAUUUUCUUCCAAGGAUCUCGUGUUUUCUUUUUAGGUCUUCUCCUUCUUGGUGCAUCAACCUCCAUGUCACUACUUUCAGCUGACUGUUCCUUGUCAGUAUCAACAUCACUGGGACCAUCAUCAACAUCAUCAUUGAAGUCAACUUCCUCUUCUGGAUCUGUUUCCAUUCCCUCAGGUGUUUCAGAUUCACUACUCUCAUCUUCAAUAUCAUAAAAGACAUAGUUAUCAUCUGUGGACUGACUAUCCACAACAGUUUCUGUUUCUUCCCCUCCUACUCCAAUGGUUGUUGUUGUUGUACCCUAUCUCUAAAGCUGUAAGAGGCUCCAACUGCAAUUGCUCUUUUCCCCUUCCUAUUGUCCCUAUUCACAUUGGCCUCAUGAACAUUUGCCCUGCCUCUACAUCGCCCUCUCCCCCUCCCUUUUCCCCUGCCUAACUGGUUUACAUAGCCUGAAUACUCAGUGUUGUCAGCCAGCACAAUAUCCC
rnacentral:lncRNA from 1 species